AAACAACACGAACCCCACCAAAAAACUAGGGGUGAUCUCAGGUGCUCCGGAAGGGCAAGCAGAUCCUGCUCCACAUGUGGCACCCGUCGUGUUGCUUAUGUGAUAACACAUCCAGUAAAUAGUCUAAUUCGGUAGGUCACAUUCAUGAAAGGGAAGGGGAUUGUAGUUACGACGUAAGGAACAUAUCUGAUAUCAUUUGUGAAACGGUUAUUCCAUAACGGUCAACCAACUCGUGAUUGCG
rnacentral:lncRNA from 1 species